UACGUAGGGGGCAAGCGUUGUCCGGAUUUAUUGGGCGUAAAGAGCUCGUAGGCGGUCUGUCGCGUCUGCUGUGAAAACUCGGGGCUUAACCCCGGGCCUGCAGUGGGUACGGGCAGACUAGAGUGCGGUAGGGGAGACUGGAAUUCCUGGUGUAGCGGUGAAAUGCGCAGGAUAUCAGGAGGAACACCGGUGGCGAAGGCGGGUCUCUGGGCCGAUACUGACGCUGAGGAGCGAAAGCGUGGGGAGCGAACAGG
rnacentral:rRNA from 1 species